rnacentral:misc_RNA from 1 species
CAAGAAGCCGAAAGGCUACUUAAAACCAUCGCGAACUUAUCCAAGUUUGCUUCGGCGGGCGCGGCUCCCCUCACGGGGGACCGCAGCCCCCCGCCUCUCAGGAGGUAAGGGGCAGCCGCCCGGAGGUACGAAACUCUGUAUUAUAGUGGUAUCUCUGAGUAUAAAACAAAUAAGUUA